UGUUCUAUGGCAUAGUUGGUUUGAGCGCUGGUCUGGCCAAUACGGAGUCGUGGGUUCAAAUCCCACCAGAACGC
rnacentral:tRNA from 1 species